GGGGCCGACUGGUUUUGACAGCGAGACCAAUGGUAAUGUAAGCAUGUCGAGCGCUGAGAAACAGCUCGUUAAUAUCAUUUUUCACACUUUUAAUUGGCGAUAAUAAUUACGCUCUUGCCGCUUAAUCUGAAUUAUAGUAAGAUUAGCCUCGUCGCUACAAGGUAGCGAAGCGAGAUGUUCGUGAAUAGCCUCUGUCGACGGCGAUUCAAUUUCGAGCACCAUAAAUGUCGAUAUAAGGGUAGUAUUCGCUUUGGUAUUACCACAAAAAUCUUAAGAAGCUAAGCGUUUGUUAGGCCGUUUCCGGUCAGGCUUACGUCGAAAAUUAAACGGAAACUAAACAUGUAGAAAGCUUUAACGUUGCUUGUUUGGACGGGAGUUCGAUUCUCCCCGGCUCCACUA
rnacentral:tmRNA from 1 species